CCGAGACUGGAAUCCCCUUGGCUCCUUUCUCCUUGCCCAGCUUUGCCUGCUUAGUGCUCAGACGGUCGGUCUCUGAGCAAGAGCACAGAGGAUGACAGAUGGCGGCUGAGAGCUGACAGGGAUGGCCCCAGCUGUACCAGAAUGUCUGUGACCUUCAAGGACGAAACUGUGGACUUCACCCAGGAAGAGUGGGCCUUGCCUGACAAAGGAAGCUGUACGGAGAUGUGAUGUUGGAGGACAUCAGGUUGAGACAUUAGAGGACCUGUUGGCAUCCGGGACUAUGGCUCCAUGAAGUAGAGGGACGAAGGGAUCUGGGCAAGAGAUUAAUUUGGGUGCUGGGGGCCAAGUACAGGACGCUGGGGGCGGGGUAUCUUAUAGGAUUGGAGAUUGAGGGUCUGUGGAGUCUGUGAUUUGACGAUAUUAAAGAAUUAACUGGGGUCAGCUCCACCUAAUGGCUUUAGAAAAUUGUUCAGAAGGAGAGGGAUGGAGGGAAAAGGAAAAAAUAAGAGGAGAGAAGAUGAAGGGAACCU
rnacentral:lncRNA from 1 species